rnacentral:rRNA from 1 species
AGUGGCGGACGGGUGAGUAACGCGUGAGAAUCUGCCCUUUGGAUGGGGAUAACGACUGGAAACGGUCGCUAAUACCCAAUAUGCCGAGAGGUGAAACUUAUAUGGCCAGAAGAUGAGCUCGCGUCUGAUUAGCUAGUUGGAGUGGUAACGGCACACCAAGGCGACGAUCAGUAGCUGGUCUGAGAGGAUGAUCAGCCACACUGGGACUGAGACACGGCCCAGACUCCUACGGGAGGCAGCAGUGGGGAAUUUUCCGCAAUGGGCGAAAGCCUGACGGAGCAAGACCGCGUGAGGGAGGAAGGCCUACUGGUUGUAAACCUCUUUUGAUAGGGAAGAAGAAAGUGACGGUACCUAUCGAAUCAGCAUCGGCUAACUCCGUGCCAGCAGCCGCGGUAAUACGGAGGAUGCAAGCGUUAUCCGGAAUUAUUGGGCGUAAAGCGUCCGUAGGUGGUUAUUCAAGUCAGCUGUCAAAGGAUGGAGCUUAACUCCAUAAAGGCAGUUGAAACUGUGUAGCUAGAGUGCGAUAGGGGCAAGGGGAAUUCCCAGUGUAGCGGUGAAAUGCGUAGAUAUUGGGAAGAACAUCGGUGGCGAAAGCGCCUUGCUGGGUCUGCACUGACACUGAGGGACGAAAGCUAGGGGAGCGAAAGGGAUUAGAUACCCCUGUAGUCUUAGCUGUAAACGAUGGAUACUAGGCGUUG